ensembl:lncRNA
GUGGAGACAAUAGCUCCCGUGAACACAAGCAGACAAGGCUCAAUGCAGCUUUCUUCCCCUCCUCAAUGCAGCUUUGAUCCAGCCAGGGCUACCGGGAGGAAUUUCAGUCUAACUGGGGCAGCCCUACCUGGGAACCAUGCCUCACUCUGUGGGGGUGGCUCCUCCCAUUAUUGGGGAGGUUAUCGGGAGCCGGCAUGGAAAGUUCCAUAAACAUGGAGCACCAGCACCCCACCAGCGCCUCCACACACCAGCCUGAUUGAAUUUAGCACAUGUCUUUGCUAUAGGUACGAUUGGCGAUGACAGUUGUCAAGCUGUUGUGGCUCAGUCUCAAAGUCACUACCGUUUUGUGACGCAGGGGCUGGAACUGCCACUUCUCCCAGCUAACUGGCGCCAUGUCAGGUUCUGCCACUAGGAGGCGCCAGAGGGAGAUCGCAAAGCUGGAGGACCGAAAAGGGACUUUUAUCUUUCAGUGCCCACCAGUUUCAUCCUGGCAUCGAAGUUUGUUUCAGUCUCUAGGUUUUUUCAACACCCCUAGUACCAGCCUCUUAGUCAUUUCUCUGCCCCAUGAUUUACAAAACUCUCCUACUUUAAAAACAACCACCUCUGGGUUUUAAAAACAAUCCCAGCGCCCUGUGUACAAUUUCACAACAAAGGAGAGAAGCGUCAAGGGCUGGGACGAUAGCAGAGGGGUCUGCGCCUGCAUGAAGACCCAAUUUCUUCCCGGGUGGUGGAUAAAGCUAAGGAGAUAAAAAAUGACCUUUCACCUUCGGGAACAGUAAUCGCCACCUCUCUGGAGCCUGUGCGGAGGAUGAAUUAGGAAGAAACAAGGCCAGACCACCAGUUGGCAGACUGCUGAAGUCAAGAAGUCCUCUAAGCCAGAAGUGAUGAUGCCAUGAACCAGGCUUCUUACAGAGUUGUGAUGUGCCCCGGAACGCCUCAUCUCAGGGAAGGCAAGAGGAGUCUCUCUUAAGAGAGUAUGGCGUCUGCUUCUAGUGCUGUUUACGGCAAAGCUGAAAACUGUCUUUGAAAUUAACAACAGAUGUGCAUAAAUCUUCAGUUACCUAGCAACUAAUACAAGGAAGCACCAUGUGGACACAUCGCUAAGGUUUGCUGCAGGCAAGAUAAAGUGGUUGUUGAACAGAUGAGUAAGAUAUUCCUUCUCAUAAGUGAGCCUCAAGUGGAAAUUAGCCCAUGGAAAACUGGCUCCUGCACUGAGAUGGACCAAGAGGGACUCAUCGAGGAGGAGGCGCUUCUUACGGCAGGUGUCAGGGGAAACACUCUUGGCGCCUUGUUUGGGAGGUGGAAUUGGGCCUUGCGCAUGUGGCUUGUUCAGAUAAUAUGUGGAGAUCACUUACAUCCUCUUGGCGUCUUCUCUUGGAUCAAGCAACCAAAGUUAAAGGCCUAGAAACCCUCAAACCAUGUUCCCCAGAGCAUUACUCCUGUUGCAUCCUUCCCCAGCCACAUCUACCUGGAACCAAGACAUGGGACAGGACUGCUGCCACUAGCCCCUGUAGUUCCUUCCAGGGAAUUUUUAAAAGGUGCCGCUUCCUCAAGAUACA